rnacentral:lncRNA from 1 species
GUAAAAUAUAAUACAUGAGCGUUGAUUCUAGCUGCUUUUGGAAUGGUGUUCCCCAUGGAGGUGACGGUUCAUCCCAUGAUAGGUGUUGGAUACAGUUAAAGGAGCGUAUAAACCAUCCCAUCAUUCCUCCACCCGCUUUACUCUUACAAGUUCAACUGCCAGACGACAGCGAAGUGUCUACUACUCCAUGGGGCAGUAGACACAACAACAACAACAACAACAAAACCAAGCAGACAGACUAAAACAAGUCAUGAAAACGAAUGUGUAUAGAACAAUACUUUACAUAUUAUAAAAAUCUGUCUCCGUGUAUUGACAUCUAAUAAUGUCUAAGGUUCUGAUUAUUUUUCAAGUUCUUUUCGUGACUGUAGUCACGACAUCUGCUGAGAUGGAACCGUGCAAUUUGACAGCGCACUCAUGGAAGACGUGUAUUUCAAACGUAAACUCCAUUACAAAAUCCGGCGAAACCACCCUUAAAUAUUCCAUAGAGAUUAGCGAAGAUCGAGUCGGUCCACUGGUCUGUUGUAAAGCAUUGACUUGUCAAGAACAUAGUUGUAAAUAUACUGCAAUUGGUUGUUCGUACCGUUCGUUCGAGGACCAAGUUUUAUGGAAGAAUGAUAAGGCUACACCUAAAAUCAGAUGUCAUUCAAUAGGGGAUAUGCUUUUAUCGUGGCAACACGCUUAAACUACCGUUAAUGAAUGUCGAUAGGCCUGCUAAAGACGGGCUUGUAUAUCCCUGAUUGCUCGUCUUCUGGUAUCAGGGAAGGGUUAUGAAACGAGGUGGGUGUGCUGGAAUGAACUCCUUCUUAUAUAUUUACCCGAUGAUAUGCUGAAUUAGUAAUAAAAAUACAUAUAUUAUACACCAAUCUCUAAAUUUAAGCCUAUUGCAGUAGGCAUAUUUUUCAAAUUAAUAGUUAAUUCUUACAGCGAUAAUAGGCCUAUCUUAAUAUAUUGUAUUGUACUUUAUCGACUUUAUCGAACAAUGCUAUUACCAAGUCUAUUACCUAAGUAUUAUGUACAUUGAUAUACAUUAAUCUCUUUACUUACCGACUUGAGAUGAAAGUUUUUUUAUUCGUUUAAAGAGCUUGCUCAUCUGUCGUGGAUUAUGUCACUUUUUUUGGCAACCCAGGGAUGUCAGUUUUGCACUCCUUCACGUUUUAAAUUUUGUAUUUAUUUUCACAAAAUUUGAGAAAUCUGAAUUGAAUCACCGAAAUCACUACAACAAAACCGCAUCCAAAUAAUGCCGUGCUUUUCCGUCAGCUUGGCAUAGGCCUAUAUUAUUAUUAUUAUUAUUCGGAUUAUGCAAUUAGAUCGUUCAGACUCAAGGCAACAAUAGUAUUAUAGAUUGUUGGUGUGGUUUAGUUUCAUGGUCGUGGGCUUUUCUAUCACAAAAAACAAAUCCACUUCUCUAGUCCUAUAAAGAAUCCAUGCCUAGUUACAAGAAAUUUAGCUGGAUAGGUGAGUGCAAAAUAGGACGCAUCGACACCAUAAUGAAGGGUAACCAGGAUCCAAAAUAUUUCUUGAAGGCUUACGUGGUGAAUAUCAAUAACAAAAUAAGGUAAAACCAAUUAGUGAUUUUACCUAAAAAACAUAUAUUUAAACAUGGUGUACAGAAAGUUUUAUGAUUUUGUUAAAAUUGAUCCACCAUAUAAAAUUAUGUGUUUGCGGAAAGUUGUGUUAAGUUUUCGCCGCACGACGUUAACCUUAACGUUAACGGAUGACGCCAUAAUGCAUUCAUCUUGCGUUGCGGAGUACGUUAAUUUUAGAAUUUUACAUGCUCGACGUAGGUUAGUUACGGGUUUGCAUGCAUAUUUCGAUUUGUUUACAAAAGGGGCGAAACCAAGCCAUAGAUAGAAAGAGUUGCGACAUUGAGAAUUUAGAAGCCAUUCUGUGUCAAACGCGAUGCGUGUUCUGUGUCCAUCGCGAUGUACGUUCUUGUGUAUAAUUAUUAUGGUAUAAUACAAUUAUCGGCCUCCUGUAGUUUAAUUUAAUCUUUUUAGCAGAAGUUCAUAUAACUAUAUUCAUAGAUAUUUUUUUUAAUGAUUUCACUACUUUAUAUCCAAUUUCAUAUUAUAUUGUAAUAAUUUACUAUUUUUAACCAGUACUUUAGUCCUUGUCGAUAGACGGAGAGCCCCUCGAUGGCAAGCAUUCGUCAAUUAGGCAAUCUUGCCAUAUAGACCCUUAAAGUGGCUCCUGUUAUUUUGGUAGAAAAUAAUGAUAUAUGACGACCAGCAAAAAUUAAUUAAAUAUGUCUAUCAAAAUGUAAUUAAGAUUUGUUACUCAUUUAUAAUAUUUCCGAUUAAAUCUAUGUUGUUCAUGUUAUUUAAUUUGUGUGGGAAAACGAUAAUAAAACAACAAAAUAUCCUCGUAUUUUUCCUUGAAUUAUUGUGCAAACAAAAACAGCAAGUGAUUUUCGAAAUCAUAAUCAAAUAAACAAAUGAUAUCAUACUAAAGGUUUCUUUGCCAAAAAUCACUCCUAUUAUUACUAUUAUUAUUAUUAUUAUUAUUAUUUAUAGUAAUAAGUAUUAAAAUAAUAUAUAUCAAGUGGGCAGCAUCAUUUUCGUUCACAAAUUGAGAGUAGGCCUGCACCGAAUUAUCACCAUCAGAAGGUGUUUUAAAAGUAAAGCAAUCCUUUGUCUCCUUAACUACCGUACGUCUUGUUACCGUCGUUUUUUCCUAUCUGCUUUAUUAAAAACAGUGUCUGCAGUCCAAUAUUGAACAGCCAGUAUAAUUACUUUUAGUCUUGGCCGGCAUUACCUAUUCAUUGAUCCGUAAAUAGGGUAUAGAUUGUUGUUCUUUAAAACAUAAUGAUACGUACAAUUAAUAGUAAACUAGCUGGUAAGGCCUGCCCUGUGUGUGCCGACCCAACUGAGAAUCGUGAGUCGUAAAACGUAUGUGAGAUUUUCAUAAUAUAGGCAUAGGUUACUAUGUUUUCGUACCUAAACGAAUUAAAUUGUUUAUAUAUAAUGCAA